UACGUAGGGGGCAAGCGUUGUCCGGAUUUAUUGGGCGUAAAGCGCACGCAGGCGGUCUUUCGCGUUUGAGUGACAGGUGGGGGCUUAACUCCCACAGGCCUCAGAAGACGGGAAGACUUGAGGGCUUCAGAGGGACGCGGAAUUCCAGGUGGAGCGGUGAAAUGCGUAGGGAUCUGGAAGAACACCAAAGGCGAAGGCAGCGUCCUGGGAGCAUCUGACGCUCAGGUGCGAAAGCUAGGGGAGCGAACGGG
rnacentral:rRNA from 1 species